ensembl:lncRNA
CCUAUUUCCAAAAAGAACACAGCAGUGGAGCUCUUGGUUAUCCUUGAGAUGGACACGUGAUUUGUUCCAACUUCCAGGCAGACCGCGCUGUGAGGCUGCAGGUGUGUCUGGAGACGCUGGGCGUGGAGGAAGAGAUGCUGGAGGGAGUUCCGGCUCAGCUGCGCCUCCCAGUGGCUGUGACCUGCUACUGGCUGAGGAGAGCCAGCCCUGAGCCGACGCUCCUCAAAGCUCUGCUGAUGGUCAUGGUCCAAGGAGAACUGAACCGACGGACAGGAGGGGCAACAGGUAGGUAGCACAUGUGGUGCUCAGCAAAAAACUAAGCAAACACUCACCACCUGUGUGUGUGUGUGCGUGUGCGUGUGUGUGUGUGUGUGUGUGUGUGUGUGUGUGUGUGUGUGUGUGUGUGUGUGUGUGUGUGUGUGUGUGUGAGUAGGCUGGCAGGGGGAUACCAACCACAUCUCUGAGCCUCCAUAUUUUGUUGUGGCUCACAGCUUCAACCAAUGGCAGGCCAGCCUGAAGGACGCCUCCCAGCUCAACCUGCUGCUCUGCAAGCCCCUCCCCAAACCCCACUUCUCCUGGUUGUACCAGGGCAGGCUGGUGCACCGGCGGCAGAAGGAGCUCCAGGAGAGGGAGCCAGAGGACAUCGUACAGGACGACCAGUUCAGGAGACUGUACAGGAGGCUCCUGGGAGCAGUGACCCAGCCAGACCCCGGGGCCAAUAGGAGAACUGGGGGGCCUGAGGCCCAGCUGAGGGCCAGCAUGGAGAACCUUCACCUCAACAGCCUGGACGGGGAGGAGGAGGAGGAGCUGGGCGGAGCUGAAGGCCUGGAUCAGGGCUCUGAUAGGCCUAGGGUGACAGUUAGAACACGCUACAGAACCAAAGACAGGAAGGACCGGUCCAGAAACCCAGAGCUGGGGAGGAAGCAGGAGAGGGAGGGGUGGUUGUGAGCAGGAAGGGGCGGUGUUCCAGGGGUGGGGGCAAUAGGGGUUUCGCCCAUAGACAUCUUAUAUCAUAGACGGAGCAUCGAACGCUACCGCCUACUGGCGCUGACGAGACCCGGGCCGCCAUCUUGGAGUGGUCAUCCGCUCCACUCAGUGUAAUCCGUUUGGCUGGAGCAAUGAACUGUCAGCGCAUUUAAUUAAUCAUACCUCACUGGAUACCACUGAUUUACAUGCGGUUUUUUGUCACACGUGUAGCUAUGAUAAAGGACACAUGGUUUGGCGUGUUUUAUUAUUCAUAGUUGGUUAACACUAAUAGAAUAUUCUGAUAUGCUUCAAGUGACCAGACAUCCGAGAUCAAAACUGGGAGCAUAAUCCCUGAGAAGGGGAAAAAAAACGGUCAGCUAUUUUUAAAUUGAAGAAACAAUAUGACAUAUAUAUCCUGCAUAAACAAUGUAUGAAUACAUUAGAUAUGUAUAUAUCUUAGGGACCUUAUAGACUGCAUCACUGACUGCGGCUGCAGCAGCAGUUUAUUCUGUGUUGACACUUUGUAUUGAUAUUUUGUAUUUACUAUUAACAUUCUUUCCUUAAAUGAUUAUGUUUACAGUGAUUGUUUUAUAUGUAUCUAUCGCUUUAGAAAAAAGCAAACCAAAUAUUUAAACAUAAAACAUAUAUAAACACCUGACAUGUUUUAUAUCAGCUAAAACCACCAAUCUGAUUCACUGGAUUCAGAAUAAAACCAAAUUCUGUCUUACCCAACAAUGUUAGCAUUUAAAUAUUGUUACUUGGAUGACUU